rnacentral:rRNA from 1 species
UGGGGAAUCUUGCACAAUGGGGGAAACCCUGAUGCAGCGACGCCGCGUGAGCGAUGAAGCCCUUCGGGGUGUAAAGCUCUUUCGGCAGGGAAGAUGAUGACGGUACCUGCAGAAGCAGCUGCGGCUAACUACGUGCCAGCAGCCGCGGUAAUACGUAGGCAGCAAGCGUUGUUCGGAGUUACUGGGCGUAAAGGGUGUGUAGGCGGUUGUUUAAGUUUGGUGUGAAAUCUCCCGGCUCAACUGGGAGGGUGCGCCGAAUACUGAAUGACUAGAGUGCGGGAGAGGAAAGUGGAAUUCCUGGUGUAGCGGUGAAAUGCGUAGAUAUCAGGAGGAAUACCGGUGGUGUAGACGGCUUUCUGGACCGUAACUGACGCUGAAACACGAAAGCGUGGGUAGCAAACAGGAUUAGAUACCC